UACGGGGGGGGCAAGCGUUGUUCGGAAUUACUGGGCGUAAAGGGCUCGUAGGCGGCCAACUAAGUCCGACGUGAAAUCCCAAGGCUUAACCUUGGAACUGCGUCGGAUACUGGAUGGCUUGAAUUCGGGAGAGGGAUGCAGAAUUCCAGGUGUAGCGGUGAAAUGCGUAGAUAUCAGGAGGAACACCGGUGGCGAAGGCGGAUCUCUGGGCCUUACCUGACGCUGAGGCGCGAAAGCUAGGGGAGCAAACAGG
rnacentral:rRNA from 1 species